GGUUCGGUGGCGGAUGGUCCGCAUCUCCAAUACCUGGGAAUUGGGGAAAAUAACCCGCUUGUUACAGCAGAAGGUCGCUCGUUCGAAUCGAGCUCGAGCCA